UGAACACCUAUGAAGUAUCUGUCAAGGGCAGAACUCAAGCCUCAGACUCUGGAGACACAUCUAGAUUUCAGUCUCAAUUUCAUCCUUUACCAGCUCUACGACUGCAGACAAGUCCGCCAGGGAAUAGGAAGCUUUAGAAAGAUACUUCGCAAUCCAUACCAGCAGCUUCAAAGAAAGGCGGAAGGCACCAAGUAAAAGAGAGAAACUGAGGCUCACAGAGCUUAGAUACCAUACUUCCUGACACACAGCUACUAAAUGAUGCGGUAAGGAUUUGGACUCAGCUGUGUCCGACCAGGACACGUGAAGCCACAUCACUGGUAAAUGAAUAUGGAGGAACACUGAGAAAUCUGAUUGUAAUUGAGAAAAAGAGGGAAGGUGAAGAAAUUUGUCAUGCACAAUGAAUCUUAAAACUCAAACGUCUUCUGAGCCAGCAUGGUUAGAGCAUUUUUCUCUCUUAUAUUUCAAAUGUCUG